GGUGACAGUCGAUGUGAUAACUGAGACGGCCAGCGUGUGACUGACGGGAAGGUUCCUUAGACAGUGUGGAUAUGCUGGACAAAGAGAAGAUUCCCCUCCCAGGUGGGACAGAGCAAGAGGGUGAGAGAUUUCAGCACGCAACUGAGAAUGACACGCAAUUUACAACUUAUGAAUUGCUUAUUUCUGAAAUGUUCCCUUUAAUUUUUGGGGGCCACAACUGACCACAGGUAAGUGAAACCACAGAAAAGAAAACCUCAGAGAAGGAGGAGCUAAUGUAUUUAGUUUUAACAUUAUAUCAAUGACCCAAGUGGGCAACAUGAAAAGUCUUUAUUUUCUGAUACUUGCAUUACUUUCUGGUAAUAAAAUGUCCUUUCAGUAUUUUAGAAGAAUGAGUCACAUUUCGCACAUAGUACUAGACACUUAAUAGAUGUUUGUUGAAACAUUCGUAGAUAAGUGGGUAGAUACACGCUGACAUUUAACGAUGUGCCUUAUAAUUCAGCUUUAAGUGCCAACGUUUAUUAACGGUGAUGCAUAAAUACAAUAGCACAGAUUCUGAUAUAGCCCCCUCACUGAAAAUUUCCCCCUACUUCCAAAACGUAAACCGGGACCAUUUAAGUUUCCGUAUAAGGAUUGAACUGGUAACAACGUAAUAGUGAAGUUGUCUUGGACCAAUUGUUGGAGGACGCCUUUGGUACCUUUAUGGAGAACGGGAAGCCUUUGCGUGUGGCUGACACAAAUGGUUGUCACACGCCAUCUAGUGGCCAUCUGUGAAACUGUGCCUAUGCCGUGGGAAAGGCUUUUGGAACGAGCUUGAUUGCUCCGAAUUUCAGUGCCUAUCGGACAGCCAGGGAACAUUUGUCCAUUUUUAAGGCAUUAAACUGAGAAGAACCACUGAGGAAAGCAUGCCACGGUCUUUCCCAAAAUCCUUGUGUCUUAAGGAACAACCAAGAAGUUAACUAGGGGGAAAAGAUUUCUUUUGGGAUUCAGAAGCCAUCGCUGUGUGCAGAAAUCCAUGACCUGCCCAUGACUUCUACAACCCGGAGGACUUGCCUGACAUUACUGAAAUGCACAGGGGGCAGAUUCUGUGACAGGAAGAGAUUAGGACACAAACAACAGACAGCAGGUGACCACAGGAGGACACAGUGAGAAGCUGGCCAUCUGCAAGCCAAGGAGAGAGGCCUCGGGAGAAACCGAACCUGCCAGCACCUUGAUCUUAGACUUCUAGCCCUCAGAACGAUGAGGAAAUAAAUCUCUGUUGUUCACGCCACCAGUCUGCAGUGUUUUGUUAUGGCCACUCCAGCAAACUAAUACACAUGGCACUGUCCCCGUGUGUCUGUGUAUCUCUUCUAAUAAGUCCCACCUUUG